UUCAAGUUGACACCUGCAUAAGAAGAAGUGUCAGCAAUAAGGCCACAUUGGGAGUAGAGAGUGGUGGAGAGAAAGAGAGAAGGUCAGAGAGGUCAGUAAAGUCCAGACCAUGCACAGCUUCAGGUCAGGUGAAGAAUGGGAAGCUAUUGGCAGAUUUUAAGCAGGGGAAUGUCAUGAUCUAAUGUUUUCAAAAGACCACUCUAGCAGGAGUGUGGUGGAGUGAGAGUGGGUGUGGGAAGAGCAGUUAUAUGACCAUUUAAGCGAUCUUAGCAGACAUGAUGGCAGCUCUGCAAUGAAGACCAGGAGAUGAACACGGGAUACAUUUUGGAGUUGUAGCUGAUCGGGCAUACUGAUGGAUUAGAGGGGGGUAGCAGUAAGCAAGGGGUCUUUGAAGAGUUCACCCAGGAGCUUCAAAAUGAGGAACAGUGCUUGCAAUUUCCUUGAAUACUAAGAACAUCCAGCUAUUUGUAGACAGAUAAAAGAGAGCAGCCCCCAGAGGUGCUGAUCCAGCCAAGAUAGCUCAUCCAGUUCUCAACAGGACUAAAGGACUUAUCCUAUGCCUAGUUUUUCACUCCCCUCAGAGGGUCAGGUGAACUGGGGAGCAAGAGGAACUGGCGCCUUUCCCUACUUCUCUUUCAAUUCGUUUAUUGAGGUAACUGCACUGGGGAAAAGAUUAUAUCCAAAACUUUUGGAUUGCUCGACAUUAGAUGUUAACUCUGAGCUAAUACUAAUUUCCAGGGACCCAGAAUGAACUUAUCAAUGGAUAUCAGGAAUGGAGAUGACACAUGAAUAAGCACAGUAACAAGGAUUUCCCCUCACCAGGAUGACGUGGCCUUUGCCAUUGCUGAGAACCCAUUUUGCACGCAAUGGUGAGCAACCCCAGAUUCCUGAUAGGAUACCACUUCCUGGGAGGGCCAACGGACUAACUAGUAGUAAAUCGGUUAUAUUAUAUCCCCUAUGUGACAGAGAAGGCAGUGUUUUGCCCUAACUAGAAUAGACAUGUAUUCUGCAUAUGGAUUUACCUUCUCUAUUGGAUGUGCUACUGAGAGCCACAUCAUAAAUGGACUUAUAAAUGUCUUGUUUAUGGCCACAACACAAAUGGCUUUUAGGGGAAGGAGUAAGGGGGUUUGUUGAUGUUCAGGAAUUUUUUGCUUUUACACAUCACCUAUCAUCCAGAAACAUGUGAUGUUACAGAAGGAAACAAAUGAAGACUCAGAGCUCCAGCUGCCUCACACUAGCUUCUAAGUUUAAGGUGUAGUCCUAUAAGAUAUAAUAUGUACUCUGAACUCGAAAUCAGUGUAUUGUGCUGUUUCCCAUAGCCAGGAUACUUGAAUUCCAGAACCAAAAGGUAGAACAGAGAGUGGCACUGCUUGAUAUUAUACCUAAUAUUUGGUUUGCAGAAAUUCUCAGCAGCACAACUCUGGAAUGUGCUGAGUUCUUAGUACCAAACGGAGAAAUGAUUUUACAAAGGGACACAACUUUGCUUCUGUUGAGUUGGAUACUGAGUCUGCCACCUGAUAUCUUGAGCUCCUCAAAGAAGUUGUGGUAUUAGAUAAGAUGAUUGAUCUGAACCAUCAAGAGAAAAGGGGAAUUAUUGAUGAAACCCAAGCGGUUCCUGGAGUGCCUUAUAGAACUUCUAUAUCUAAUGGUUAAAAUUAUUAGAAGACCACAAUGAUCUCAUAUGAUUUGGAACACCAAUUGCUUGUAUCCAUUUGGAAUGAAUGUUCAAGUUAUUCCAUCAGAUAAAGAACCUCGACCAGCUCAAAAAAAUAAAAGAAAACAUAUAGUGGAGAAGGAAGAUUGCUGCAUACUUAAGAUGCAUGACAAGUUGUAGAAAAAAACUUGCACCACCUAUCCAGAAUAUUGAGCUGAGAUCAUACCAGAACUUGAGAAAGAAUGGACAUUACUGAGCAAUCUUGCAUGCGGAUAUAACUGCAGUAACAAAUGAGAUUUUUUAGUUGACCCCUUUUGAGAAUGGAGUGGUCAUGGUUUUGGUUUGGUAAAGAAUAUUUAAAUAAGGGAAUUACGGUGUAUGUUGAUGUUGGGCAGCCAGAGGGGUAGAUCAUAGUGGGAAUUUGGCAUUCUUUUUGGUUACACAGCAUCUGUACCUUCUGCCUAUGUUUGGGAAAUCUUGCACCCUAUGAAGAGUCCACUUUCAUUUACAGAAGCUCAAUAUGCCAAAAAGUUACUUUCCCAGACUUUGUUGCAAUGAGGUCAUGGAUACAUUGCCAGUUUCAGCCAAUUAGGCACGUUUGCCCCAGCAUCUGAACCAGAAAGGAGUCAUGCAAAGACAUAAUGGUUAUGCAGAACUGGCAAGGCUCAGAGCAGUGGUAGCCCCCACAUCCAGUUUUCAGAGGCAGCACUGUAUAGAGCUAAGGGCCAGGAGUAAUGGAGUUGAAAGUCCAAGGUGAAGUAUGAGUUCCCAGCACACCAGAGUGUUCCCAGGACCAGCUAUGAGGCAUGAUGUUGGACAUCACUGUAGGCUUCAAGUUUGUUCUCCAGCUGUGACUAUUCUGUGAAAGAUCCACUAUGAUUCCAGUGAAAUUAUAUCUGCUUAUAUUAGCCAGAGUUGGUUUCUGCUCUUUGCAAAUAAGACCCUGAUUAAUACUGUGCCUGUUCUGAAUGGGUGAUUUGACAGACUUUUGGGGGAGAAGUGCUCUUACUACCUGCAUUGAAUGCAUUUCUCUGGAAGACAUCCGAAGCCAGUACCAAUCUGCCAUGUACAGUUUGAGUACUUUGUUUUAGGUCUGAGCAGGAAUAGCCCUGACUCUGCUUUGGCAAGCUACUUGCCAUGCAGCAUGUAUCCAGUUCUGCUGUAUUGUUUCAGUUUUCCCGGAUAAUAAAUGACACAGCUGGGAUUUAUUCAGGUGUUCUGACUCCAAAGUCCUUGCUCCUGAUCACCAUGCGCUACCGACUUUGAGCAGUGAUGUCUCACAGAUGGGAAUGAUUCCUCUGAAGGACUGAACAGAAGUAGCUGUGCAACCACCACUAGAAGCCUUCUGAGCGUGUUACUGAAGAGGAUGAGGCAGGAGGCUUCCAGAGGCAACAGCCAAGACUAAGCCAUCAACCACAGGGCCAAACCCAGUAAAAAAGAAAAAUAAGAACACUUCCACUUAAAGAACUGCUGCAAUUAUACUGUUCCUUUUUUUUUUCCAUUAACAUGUCUUUCCUUUUAUGAUGGCGAGAGUUAAUAUUAAGGUGUGCAUAUAUGUUUGUUAAACGAUCUCAUUUUGCAAUUAAAAGUUUGCACUUAUAUUAA
rnacentral:lncRNA from 1 species